rnacentral:tRNA from 1 species
CGCGAGGCGUCGCGCAGCAGCGCGGUGGCGUUCUCGACGUCACCGGCGACGGUCGCCUCGUUGAACUUGCGG